GGUCGCUUAGCUCAGUUGGUUAGAGCGUGGUGCUAAUAUCUUCUCUACAUUUGUAUAGAGAUUCAAAACGCCAAGGUCGCGAGUUCGACCCUCGUAGUGAUCA
rfam:Sclerotinia sclerotiorum 1980 scaffold_2 genomic scaffold, whole genome shotgun sequence.